ensembl:lncRNA
UGCAGGUAUAAAGGAAGGAGAUGCAAGAUAACUAUAUCCUAGAAGACAAAAAUUAUAACUGUACUCUAAAUCCAUUUUCUCCCAUAGUUUGAGGAGAAAGCACACAGAACUGGAAGGAAAAGCAUCUUCACAAAGGGUAUCCUUGGGGACAUACUCAACCUUGGCCUGCUAACUUACACCUCUCUCAAUGAUUUCUUCACCUAAUCUCCAUGGUGUUAAACUCCACACACUUUGGGGGAAACCCAUCUUCCUUACAGGCCCCUCCUAGGGUCUGUCCUCUUUCCCACCCAGCACUAUACUUCCUCCAAUUCAGAAUGCUCUCUGGCAGGAAGGGGGCACUAGGAGGGAAUCGUGAUUGCUGGUCUUUGACAUUUUAAGUCUUGUAGAAUAUAGCUCUCUAGCCAUCUAGCCCUCUUCACAUGAUGGAGGCACACUGAGUUGAACUGACAUGUAUCACAAGGACAUACCUUAAGCCUCAGAGACAGUAUCACCUAAACUUACAAGAAAUAAGAGGAAUAAUGAUCAGACUGCCUCUCUCACAGUGGACUUUCACUUGCCACACAGAGCACUAAGACUUCCACCCCUGAAUCCCAACUGCCUCCUCCAUUGUCCUCUCUACCAUCUGCAGAAAUGACCAUAUAGCUUUGGUCAAUUCACUCCUUUAACUCUACACAUUUUUAUCACCCAAUUUGAUAUGGCCAAAUAAUUCAAAUUCUUAUCCAAGAAUCAUCUAAGAUGGUCCCUUUCUGGGAUAAGAAAGUUACAGUAAUAUCAAGAAAUAUUUUGUUGAAGAUUCCAUAUCCAGUCAUCAUUCAUCUAAUUAAAGAAGUUAAAAAUUUGAAAAUUGACCAGAACUCUUGGGAAGUACUAGAGCUCUGUUCUAAAGACCAAAUGCAGGUGGUGCUGAAAAGAACAGCAGGUUUUCAAGAACCCUCCAAGCAACAUCCAUGCGUCUGCAAAUUGAAGUGAUUGGCCUCAUUGUUUAGAAUAUUCCGAGACUCAGGCAAGUCCUGUCUUCAGCGCUGCGACUCUUUCUCGGGAAAGAUUCUGUGGAUCAAGAAAUCAGAUGCGGCACAAGAAUUCAGACAGAGAGGACUAGGUUUCCGCUCCACAGUGUCUGAGAUCUGGGUGGGGAAGACUUAAGCAGCUGGAGGGGGCAUGUCCAGAGAGCCGGGGACUGGAAGCACCUGAUGCUGCUUCCUAUACAUCUGACACCUGGCCUGGGAUGACUGGAAGACUGACUCAGGUGGAACUAUGGAUUGGGACACCUACUCGUGUAAUGUCUCCUUGGAGCUUGAGAGUCCUUACAGCACAGCAGACUUGAUCUUCUUAUUUGGCAGCUUUGGAUACCAGGUUGGAAGAGUCACUUCAUAAGUACAAGCACCAUCCGUGUCAGGUCCCCCAGCAUACUGUACUGCUGGCAGACAUUUAUCUGCUCAAGGAGAUCCUGGUAAGGAAUACGGAACUAAUAAGCCACCACCAACCCAAAGAGUUCGGGAAAGGUCAAAAGGAGACACCAUGUGUCUGUCUACUUCCCAGAAUCCCUCUCGCUAGCAUCCAUCUUGGCUGAGCGAUGCGUGUGCCACCAGGAAAUACUCUGAAUUAGACUGAUUGGCCAAAGACAACCUGGAAACUAAUCCCAUCAUCAUAAAACCUGAGACUGUGAGCCACGUGGCAGAGCAGUUCUCCUGGGUUCCCUUACCCUACUGCUCUCCACCUGGGUGCCCUUUCCCAAUAA